rnacentral:lncRNA from 1 species
GGCAGUUAUGACAGUUUCUGGAUGUCAGAGAGAAAGGAAGAAGGAAAACCUUCUAGGAGAGAGGACAGGCAGAAGAAAUAAAAGAUUUUUCAGGGAAGAGUCAAACAGGAGACAUUUGAUAUGAUAUUGGUUCAUAUAUGAUAACUUGAAUUGGCAAAUACAUGCAAUAUUGGAUUUAUGUAAACUUCAUGAAGAAAAGAGCCAAGAAGUACAAAAAUGCAGUUUGAAAUUAGGUGUUCAAAACACAAAAUAAAAAAGAAAAAGCUGAAGACUACAAGAUACAUCUUCUAUUA